CCUACGGUGGGCAGCAGUGGGGAAUAUUGGACAAUGGGCGAAAGCCUGAUCCAGCCAUGCCGCGUGUGUGAAGAAGGCCUUCGGGUUGUAAAGCACUUUCAGUGGGGAAGAAAGCCUUGGGGCUAAUACCCUCGAGGAAGGACAUCACCCACAGAAGAAGCACCGGCUAACUCCGUGCCAGCAGCCGCGGUAAUACGGAGGGUGCGAGCGUUAAUCGGAAUUACUGGGCGUAAAGCGCGCGUAGGCGGUCUGAUAAGCCGGUUGUGAAAGCCCCGGGCUCAACCUGGGAACGGCAUCCGGAACUGUCAGGCUAGAGUACAGGAGAGGAAGGUAGAAUUCCCGGUGUAGCGGUGAAAUGCGUAGAGAUCGGGAGGAAUACCAGUGGCGAAGGCGGCCUUCUGGACUGACACUGACGCUGAGGUGCGAAAGCGUGGGUAGCAAACAGGAUUAGAUACCCGAGUAGUC
rnacentral:rRNA from 1 species